GGGCGUGUGGUCUAGUGGUAUGAUUCUCGCUUUGGGCGAAGCCUAGCCAAAACUGGGUUAAACUACUAAGCGAAGCCUAGCCAAAACUGGGUUAAACUACUAAGCAUGCGAGAGGCCCUGGGUUCAAUUCCCAGCUCGCCCC